AGCAGCCUGUGGAACUACCUGCCUCAUGAUAACAGGCACGUGCCUUCAAUGUACUCUUUUUGGCGUCUGCUAAAACCAUUCUUGCUUAGACAGGCCUACCCAGAUGCUUAGAAGGUCAAGGUCAUUUUAAUCUGCUUUAGUAUUUUAACUUCUGCAUGUUUUUAAAAGUAUGGUUGUGAUUUUUUUCCUCGGUGUUUUUGCUUUGUCUAUUUGUAAACUGCUUUUUUUUUUCUUUUACAGUCCACUAGCGGGAUGUAAAUUUAAUGGAAUAAUAAAUAAAUAAAUACUGUUUGAAUUGGGAAAAGGAGGUUGUUAUAAAAACACCCCUUAGCUGUCCAAGGCUGGAGUCGCAUCUCUAUUGUUUUCUUUUUCUUUUAAUUUCAAAACUUUAUAACCAGCCUGCUGGCCCUGUAAGGUCUCUCAAGAUGGCUAAUCCUGGAACAGGGAAAAAAAAUACAAUCCAAAAUGCAUGAUUAUUAUUAUUAUUUUUGAAAGGAGCCCGGCUUAAUGUACAAGAGGCAUAAAAGCAUCUCUGGCCUGCCGCGAAAGGAUCGACCCAAACGUUAACCUGGAUGCAAAGGUAUAAAGAGCCAUCGGGGUUGCUGCACGGACACCAUCCAGGAAUGCCGCCCCAACUUUCUUCCUCCUUUGCAGGCGAUGGCGUCGGUCAGGAUGCGGCCCUCCCAUGUCUCCUUAUUCCAGCCGUAUCCUCUCUCUCUUGCUGUGUUUGGCAAUGGUAGAACUCACACUGGUGAGAUAUCAUGAUCCGGUGGUUCUAGACUUGCCAACUACAGCCUGAGGGUCGAGCCUCAGUCACCCGUCCUGCGGUCAGGGAGAAUGGACCCGCUAGCAAACAGCUCCCUCUGCCAGUGGUCGAGAGCAGGCGCAGACAGAAGUGAAAUUCCAAAUUCUCUGCCCGCUCAGGGUCACAGAGCAAGUAGUCCUUCGGAACAGGGGGCUUCCCCAGCCCCACUCUUGGCUUGGGUUCAGGGGCGGUUGCACGGGGCCCCUGUAAUCUUCUUGUGCCAAGAUGAUUGUUUCUUCUAAUGAGGGAUAGAAGUUUUUAAAAAAUAAAAUAGAAUUCAAGUUUGUCCUCAUUGAAGGUGGAGGCUACCAUCUUGAAUUGUGAAUUUAUUGUGUGUAAACGUUGGCUGCAAGGAGUGUGUUUAUGGAGGGCGUGGAGGGGUACCAGGCUCCAAAGAUUUGGAGUCUUUUGUAAGAAGAGAUUGCAGGAUUAGGCCAAAGUGCAGCAUCCCGUUCUCACGGUGGCCAAAAGAGAAGCCUGGAAGCAAGAUCUGAGCACAAGAACAUUCUCCGCACUUGCAAUUUCCAGCAACAGAGGUGCUGCAGACUUUUAAUUCAUGGAGGCUCGAAAUGGACUUUUUUUAAAAAAAAAAGAUGAAUGCUGCUGUCCUCUGUGUCUGGGACUAGCUUUCACACGGUCUCCGGCACAGUUCCGUUCCUAAUGUACAUUUCCUCUCGCAAGUGCCCCUUGUCCUGUCUCAAGGCAGAAAACUGGUUCCUUGCAAACAAAGAACCACCCUCCAAAUUCUGCAUAACCUUUGAAAUAUAACCUUUGAAAUUACAUGUCGCUGAUGCUUUGCAAUAAAAGUUCCUUCUUUUCUCUGGGA